CCUACGGGAGGCACCAGUGGGGAAUACUGCACAAUGGGCGCAAGCCUGAUGCAGCCAUGCCGCGUGUAUGAAGAAGGCCUUCGGGUUGUAAAGUACUUUCAGCGAGGAGGAAGGCAUUAAGGUUAAUAACCUUAGUGACUGACGUUACUCGCAGAAGAAGCACCGGCUAACUCCGUGCCAGCAGCCGCGGUAAUGCGGAGGGUGCAAGCGUUAAUCGGAAUUACUGGGCGUAAAGCGCACGCAGGCGGUCUGUCAAGUCGGAUGUGAAAUCCCCGGGCUCAACCUGGGAACUGCAUUCGAAACUGGCAGGCUAGAGUCUUGUAGAGGGGGGUAGAAUUCCAGGUGUAGCGGUGAAAUGCGUAGAGAUCUGAAGGAAUACCAGUGGCGAAGGCGGCCCCCUGGACAAAGACUGACGCUCAGAUGCGAAAGCGUGGGGAGCAAACAGGAUUAGAUACCCGCGUAGUC
rnacentral:rRNA from 1 species